UGCGUAGGCGGAUUAAUAAGUCAGUGGUGAAAUCUCUCGGCUCAACCGGGAAACUGCCAUUGAUACUGUUGAUCUUGAGUUCGGUUGAGGUAGGCGGAAUGUGUAAUGUAGCGGUGAAAUGCUUAGAUAUUACACAGAACACCAAUUGCGUAGGCAGCUUACUAGACCGACACUGACGCUGAGGCACGAAAGCGUGGGGAGCGAACAGGAUUAGAUACCCUGGUAGUCC
rnacentral:rRNA from 1 species